GCUCUCUUUGACAGCACAUAAAAUUGGAAUGGUACAGAGAUUAGCAUGGCCCUUGCACAAGGAUGACACACAAAUUCGUGAAGCGUUCCAUAUAUUC
rnacentral:snRNA from 1 species